UACAGAGGUCUCAAGCGUUGUUCGGAUUCAUUGGGCGUAAAGGGUGCGUAGGCGGCGCGGUAAGUCGGGUGUGAAAACUCGAGGCUCAACCUCGAGACGUCGGCGGAAACCAUCUGGCUAGAGUCCGGAAGAGGAGAGUGGAAUUCCGUGGUGUAGCGGUGAAAUGCGUAGAUAUUCGGAAGAACACCAGUGGCGAAGGCGGCGCUCUGGGCCGGUACUGACACUGAGGAGCGAAAGCGUGGGUAGCAAACAGG
rnacentral:rRNA from 1 species